UGCUCAAUGAUUAUUAAGUCAUGUUAAGCCAUGGCAAUAUACGCUAUUCUGAAUCAUAUAGGAUGUCAUAAACAUUAUGAGAGCA
rnacentral:snoRNA from 1 species